AGUGAACGCUGGCGGUAGGCCUAACACAUGCAAGUCGAACGGCAGCACAGGAGAGCUUGCUCUCUGGGUGGCGAGUGGCGGACGGGUGAGGAAUACAUCGGAAUCUACUCUGUCGUGGGGGAUAACGUAGGGAAACUUACGCUAAUACCGCAUACGACCUACGGGUGAAAGCAGGGGACCUUCGGGCCUUGCGCGAUUGAAUGAGCCGAUGUCGGAUUAGCGAGUUGGCGGGGUAAAGGCCCACCAAGGCGACGAUCCGUAGCUGGUCUGAGAGGAUGAUCAGCCACACUGGAACUGAGACACGGUCCAGACUCCUACGGGAGGCAGCAGUGGGGAAUAUUGGACAAUGGGCGCAAGCCAGAUCCAGCCAUACCGCGUGGGUGAAGAAGGCCUUCGGGUUGUAAAGCCCUUUUGUUGGGAAAGAAAUCCAGCUGGCUAAUACCCGGUUGGGAUGACGGUACCCAAAGAAUAAGCACCGGCUAACUUCGUGCCAGCAGCCGCAGUAA
rnacentral:rRNA from 1 species